rnacentral:rRNA from 1 species
AGAAUCAACGCUGGCGGCGUGCCUAAUACAUGCAAGUCGAACGCGAAGACCCCGCAAGGGGUUUGUAGCGUGGCAAACGGGUGAGUAACGCGUGGGCGACCUGCCUUCGAGUGGGGGAUAACCUUCCGAAAGGAGGGCUAAUACCGCAUGACAUACCGUGUUUAGAUACAUGGAUAUCAAAGCCGGGGAUCGCGAGACCUGGCGCUUGAAGAGGGGCCUACGUCCGAUUAGCUAGUUGGUGAGGUAACGGCUCACCAAGGCGACGAUCGGUA